rnacentral:tRNA from 1 species
GUGGCCAUAGCUCAGCGGAAGAGCACUUGCCUACGAAGCAAGGGGUCGCAGGUUCAAAUCCUGCUGGCCACG